rnacentral:rRNA from 1 species
GAGUUUGAUCCUGGCUCAGGACGAACGCUGGCGGCGUGCCUAACACAUGCAAGUCGAGCGAUUUACUUCGGUAAAGAGCGGCGGACGGGUGAGUAACGCGUGGGUAACCUGCCUCAUACACAUGGAUAACAUACCGAAAGGUAUGCUAAUACAGGAUAAUAUAAGAGAUUCACAUGGAUUUCUUAUCAAAGCUCCGGCGGUAUGAGAUGGACCCGCGUCUGAUUAGCUAGUUGGUAAGGUAAUGGCUUACCAAGGCGACGAUCAGUAGCCGACCUGAGAGGGUGAUCGGCCACAUUGGAACUGAGACACGGUCCAAACUCCUACGGGAGGCAGCAGUGGGGAAUAUUGCACAAUGGGCGAAAGCCUGAUGCAGCAACGCCGCGUGAGUGAUGAAGGCCUUCGGGUCGUAAAACUCUGUCCUCAAGGAAGAUAAUGACGGUACUUGAGGAGGAAGCCCCGGCUAACUACGUGCCAGCAGCCGCGGUAAUAC